rnacentral:rRNA from 1 species
UGGGGAAUUUUGGACAAUGGGGGCAACCCUGAUCCAGCCAUUCCGCGUGAGUGAAGAAGGCCUUCGGGUUGUAAAGCUCUUUCAGCUGGAACGAAACGGUGCGCUCUAACAUAGCGUGCUAAUGACGGUACCAGCAGAAGAAGCACCGGCUAGCUACGUGCCAGCAGCCGCGGUAAUACGUAGGGUGCGAGCGUUAAUCGGAAUUACUGGGCGUAAAGCGUGCGCAGGCGGAUUGUUAAGCAAGAUGUGAAAUCCCCGGGCUUAACCUGGGAAUGGCAUUUUGAACUGGCAGUCUAGAGUGCGUCAGAGGGGGGUGGAAUUCCACGUGUAGCAGUGAAAUGCGUAGAGAUGUGGAGGAACACCAAUGGCGAAGGCAGCCCCCUGGGAUGACACUGACGCUCAUGCACGAAAGCGUGGGGAGCAAACA